AUUGAACGCUGGCGGCAGGCCUAACACAUGCAAGUCGAGCGAGCGGCGGACGGGUGAGUAAUGUCUGGGAAACUGCCUGAUGGAGGGGGAUAACUACUGGAAACGGUAGCUCAUACCGCAUACCAUCAGAUGUGCCCAGAUGGGAUUAGCUAGUAGGUGGGGUAACGGCUCACCUAGGCGACGAUCCCUAGCUGUUCUGAGAGGAUGACCAGCCAAACUGGAAAUGAGACACGGUCCAGACUCCUACGGGAGGAAGCAGUGGGGAAGAUUGCACAAUGGGCGAAAGCCUGAGACAGCCAUGCCGCGUGGGUGAAGAAGGCCUUCGGGUUGGAAAGCACUUUCAGCGGGGAGGCGUUACCCGCAGAAGAAGAACCGGCUAACUCCGUGCCAGCCGCCGCGGUAAUAC
rnacentral:rRNA from 1 species